rnacentral:rRNA from 1 species
AAGCAUAUCACUGAGCGCAGGAGAAGAAACUAACCAGGAUUUCCCUAGUAACGGCGAGCGAACCGGAAAGAGCCCAGCUUGAAAAUCGUGGCGCCCCGGCGCCUCGAAUUGUAGUCUGGAGAAGGUCCCUCUGCGGCGCGCCGGACCCAAGUUCCCUGGAAAGGGACGCCAUCGAGGGUGAGAGCCCCGCUGAUUCCGGAGUGCGCCGCUCCACGAGGACCUGUCUGCGAGUCGGGCUGUUUGGGAAUGCAGCCCUAAGCGGGUGGUAAAUUCCAUCCAAGGCUAAAUAUUGGCAAGAGACCGAUAGCGAACAAGUACCGCGAGGGAAAGAUGAAAAGGACUUUGAAAAGAGAGUUAAAAAGUGCUUGAAAUUGCUGGGAGGGAAGCGAAUGGAAGCUGCGGGUGCGCCCCGGUUGGAUGUGGAACGGCUGUCAAAGGCUGGUCCGCCGCUCAACGCGGGGCGCUGGUCAGCGUGGGCCAUCGCGGCGGGACAAGAGCGGGGAUUCGCUUCCCGCCGAUGCCGCUGCGGUGGCCGAGGAACGAAGCGCGCGCUCUUCAUGGGCGUGGGACUUGUCCCAACUGCGCGCUCGGGACGCUGGCGUAUUGAGCUCUUCAUCCGACCCGUCUUGAAACACGGACCAAGGAGUCUAACAUGUAUGCGAGCCGGUGGGCGGCAAACCCAUUGAGGCGCAAGUAACCUGACAGGUGGGACCCCGACCGCAAGGGAGGGAGCACCAUCGACCGACCGUGAUCUUCUGUGAAGGGUUCGAG